UCCUUCUUAGCUCAGUUGGUAGAGCGCGUCACUAGUAUUUACGAUUGAUGACGAGGUCAGUCGUUCAAGUCGGCUAGAAGGAA
rnacentral:tRNA from 1 species